rnacentral:rRNA from 1 species
AACGAACGCUGGCGGCGUGCCUCAUACAUGCAAGUCGUACGCGAAUCCUGCCGCAAGGCAGGGUUUGAGUGGCAAACGGGUGCGUAACACGUAGGUAAUCUUCCUUUGAGUUGGGGAUAAACCCUCGAAAGGGGUCGUAAUACCGAAUAACACUUCUGGUUGGCAUCAACCGGAAAUUAAAGAAUGGCCUCUGCUUGCAAGCUAUCGACUCGGAGAUGAGCCUGCGGCCGAUAGUUAGUUGGCGGAUAAAGCCCACCAAGACUUCGAUCGGUAGCCGGUCUGAGAGGAUGUCCGGCCACACUGGGACCUGAGAUACGGCCCAGACUCCUACGGGAGGCAGC